AUGUUCUCCGUGCACAAUGUUCCCACCGAAGGGCAAUUUAUAAGCCCAGAGAAAGCUGCCGUGGGUUAUGCCGCUGAGCAGAAACUCCACAACGAAUACAACACCAUUGCUCCUAAACCCCGGGAUCCAGCUUCCUCAGAAAUGCUCUGCAUUGAUAGUGCAGUGCGCAUGGAAGGACGUGGCAAAACUCUCUUCACCUGGUGCAAGGGGAGGCAGCGGGGAGAGGAGCCGGUGGCCACGGGGGCAACUGGAGGAGAGUGGCAGGGAGCAACUUCUCCGGUGAUUUGUGCGAUAGGAGCGAUGCUCUCCUGCUCCGGCCUGUCAGCUCCAGCAGCAAUUCGGCUCCCCUCGGGACCAUCCUGGCAAUCCAGCAAGCCCGUAGUAAGCAGCGGCGGGAGUUCCUCGGUGACAGCAGCAACAAAUUGUAAAUCAAUGCUUUGGAGAGCAGGCACGGCCGCUCGCGAGCAGAGAUGCUAUUGGCAGCGUGGCGAGACAGAGGGAGGAAAGUUUGCUUUCUACAAGCUCCUGGCAGCUCUGGCAAGGCGGGAGGAGGGUCUUGUCCCCUCUGUCCUAGUGCUGCCACCUCUCCUGGAUGCCAGUGUUGGUGCCCAAAGGCUCUGCCCUCCCACGCUGGGUGGCCACAGGGAAGGGCUGCGUCACCCCAGCAUGGCAUGGCCAUCGGGAGUGUUCCUGUUUGGACGUGGUGACCGCUUGCUUGUGCCAAGGUGGCCAGAAGAGGAUCUGCCACCGGCGGGAGCACAAGUGGUGCUGAUCCCACCUUCAACUUCCUAGCCAUUGGGUUCCUUCAGGGGUCUUCCAGAUCUCCAUCAAAGCAUCCGUCUCCAACAGUCCACUCUCUUGGAGCAUCCUGAUCUUCUCAGCAUGGCACACAGUGAAAACAUGUGGUCAUGCCUAGACAGAUUGCUUUCCCAUUCCUUCCCCAGAAAAGAGGUGCAGAAGAUUGAGUGGCAAAGAACCAGUGUUUGCACUGAGCUCAGCUGUGUCCAGACUUUAAGCUCAAAUGAGAAAAACCAAAGAGGAACAACCAGGAAAGAAAGAACCUCAUCUCCUCCUCUUUUUUCCUGGUUUGGCCCCAAAAUGCAACCCACCCUCACCAAGGCCAGCUUCAGAGCAUCACAGCUGGUGCUGGCUGUGUCCAAUCGAUCUCCUCCUCACACUAAGGGCUGACCUGCAUGUUCUGGCUUUCUCUUUUCUUAUUAAUUACACAAGGUUGUGGAUGCCAAAAUGAAAAGCUGGUUUUAAUUCCAUGCUGCAACCCAGUUCCAAGCUGCUGAGAUAAUUAGCAGUUUUUUUUAAUGAACAAGGAGACUACCAACAUGGAGGAAGGAAAGAUGGGGAGGGAGGGGAAUCAUGGUUGGGGCCUGGUCAGUGAAACUGCUAAUCGGAGAUGGACCCAGGCUUCAAAGCAUGCCAACGCCCUGGGGGCUGAGCCUUCAGCACCCGGUGAGGUGCUCCCGAGCGUGGCGAGGGCGCGUGCUGGAUGGCGCCGCAGGGCAGCUCUGCAGAGUGGCGCACUCAGGCGUCUGCUUGGCCCAGGGCCAUGCUGAAGAACGGAGAGGCUCCGUCUCGUCGCAGUAGCCUGUUGACAUCCAUCUGGCUCUGGGGAGGCGAGAGAAAGCAGUUUUGGAGCCUACUUUUCCACAAGUCUUGGGUAGCCGCAGCUCCAAGUUGCACCAGCCUCGGGCUGUCUGGUUAGCUGGAGCAGCACCACCACACUGCGAGGGUUCCUGCUGGUGGCAGGAGGGUUUCACCCCAAAACACAUCUAUCCAAAUCACUUACUAUCUGUGUGAACACCUCCAAAAUCAACCUGAUGGCAAGCAUAGAUACAAUUUCCCAGGUUAAUGCUGAGGUGAAAUAUCAGCUGCAAAUUACUAGGCAAUGUUACUUGGUAGAGGAUGCAGGAAAGCACCUCUCUAUAUAAAGAAGGAGCACCAGGCGGAGGUGAAAUGCCAGCAAAAACAGCACGUCCCCAGAGAGUGCAGCCUCCAGCCUGAAUUGUUGCUUUCUCGUGUGCAUCGCAGAGACAUGCGGUUGUUGUUCCUUUAAUUAUUAAUCCUUGCACUGACGUAUUAUAUGUGCAUGGGUUUCUGAAGGGGGCUCCAAUGUAAAAAUGAAAAAUACAUUUCAUUCUCUCUCUUAAAACUUGUCUCUAUUCCAUGACCAAUUUUAUUGCCGUUCCGCUCUAAUUUUAAAUAUAACAAGAAACAUUAAGGGUUUCAAUUAAAAGAUCUCUUUCUGGAGAUACUGGAAAGUAGCCUGAAGUAUGGACCACGUGUGCCAUGUUUAAGUGGGAUGCUGCCUGCUAUCUGAUUUCCAGUUUGGUCACCGCUGCAGGGCACAGUGCUUGUGGCUGGCUUUGCCAAGCUGUGCAGUGAGCACUGCUUUCAGGAGCUCCUCACAAGAUGCAGGCUGUAGUGAGGGGCAAAUAAACCUCAGCACAAUGUGACCCUGGAUUCUGAU
ensembl:lncRNA